rnacentral:lncRNA from 1 species
AUGGAAAGGAAGGCACAGCCUCUCUUGAACGUGGGAAUACCAAGAAGACCCUGCCUGCAUCCUGCUGUAACACCUGAAAAUAGCACCUUGCUUCACUGUACAUCGUUAAGCUUAAGGUUAUAAUGCAACAAGGUCCUCCUGGACACCUCCAGUGAUCAAGUAAGUGGCCAGCCAGCUCAGGCUGGCAUCCUACAACAAGUCGGAGCAACAGUACCCAGAGAAGUCAGCAGACCCCAGUGCAACGCUGCAGCUCUAACAUUGAUUACAUAUCAGAUGCUGCCAAAUUCACACUGUAAACUGGGAAACUGAAGGGAAAUAAAGUCUUUAAUUGUGCCCAGCUACUGUUAUCCGAGUGCUCCUUCUUGCUAUACUCCUCACAGCAUUUUCAGACAUUAGCAGCCUUCUGCUCAAUGCAUUCUGGGCUGCAAGGCUUACGGUGACAUUUCUGAGGCCCUUUACUAUGAACAGGCCAGUAGCUCUCUUUUGUUAGGAAGAACUGACUGCAUUCUCCCCUGUAAUCUCUGUAGAAAAUUAUUUUUAUGCUUUGUAUGCAAAAUAAUAAUGAAAUGGCAAACUUUAUAAAGAUUCCUUGGUACUAACUACAAAUUAAUCAGCACUUAAAGAACCAUCAGAAGCUUUCUUCACAGUGCAACAGAAAGAUUGGCUUACCUUUUUCCCAUAGCUACAAACUGAACCCAUACAAAACAACGUACUGUCUAAUUUCUGUUCUUUAUGCACUGUUCCUUAUUGAUGCCACAGUACACACAACUGGAGUGUGUUGCUUCAACCACCCACCAGCCUCACGUCCUCUGAGAGCUUCCACUUUUGCGUAGAAAUGCCCGACUUGACUAAAGCAAGCAAUUUAGCUUCUUCAAACUGCCAUUUUCCUGUUUUCUACGCUUGUUCAGAGAAUUUCCUAUUUCCCUAAGCCUCCAAAAGGAGCAGUGAGGAGCCAUGCAGCAAUACCAUCUGCUGCUGCCAUGCCAGCAAGAACUGCAGGUAGAUGACUCUAUGUGAAGAGAUCUCGAUCGUAGCAGUUUCUGUAUAGUCUCUCAGAGU